GUCAGGGUGGCCGAGCGGUCUAAGGCGCCAGACUCAGGAUCUGGGGGCGGGUUCGAAUCCCACUCCUGACA